ACUCAACUGUCUGAGUUAUCCUAAAUACUUCUUGAAAUCACCUCUUGAACUCAACUCUACUACAGAAUCACUAAUGCCUUGUCCUAGUAGUGAAGCUUUGGAGGCACCAAUUGUGAGCUUUCUUGCUAUGCCACUUUUCUUCUGUUAUGGGAGUGUAUGGUAGCCCAUAGCACUGUGUAGUGCUUGUAGUUAUGUUCCACCUUUUGACAAGCUUAAUCAUGUAUGCACAACCAUUUCAUUUUAUAGGUAAAACAUCUCAUGAGUUUGGGUAGGACAACAAUAAAAGAUAUAAUCUACAGGAUCAUGCGUGAAACAAUCAGCAAUGAUUUAGCGAAAAAGUUUAACUGGAUGGGCAGGGGGCAGAAAAGUCCUUUUUCUGUGUUGCACCUGGCAAAAGUCAUCAUAGAUGCUGCCAAACAACAAGGGGCCACCUUAAUGGAGGCAGAAGAAAAGAUAAAAACAUGGCUAAAAUACAGCGGUGACCGAAAUGGAGGGAGAAAAAGGAGAUCAGAAAAGGAGAGGCAGACACAUUCCCCAUCACAUCCUCCAUCUGACAUCAGCAGUGAAUC